rnacentral:lncRNA from 1 species
UCCAGACAUUGUAUGGAAGAACAUUGUGAAACUCUCUGCUCUGUUCUGUUUCACUCUGACUACUGGUGCAUGAAGCCCCUGUCAUGUACCCCCUAGAUUGCUCAAAUCAGUCACGACCCUUUCAUGUGAAAUCUUUAGUGUUGUAAGCCCUUAAAAGGGACAGAAAUUGUGCACUUGGGGAGCUCGGAUUUUAAGAUGGUAGCUUGCCGAUGCUCCCAGCUGAAUAAAGCCCUUCCUUCUACAACUUGGUGUCUGAGGGGUUUUGUCUGCGGCUUGUCCUGCUACAAUAGCUCAAGAAAGCAAAGUUGGGCUGGGCACAGUGGCUCAUGCCUGUAAUCCCAGCAUUUUGGGAGGCCGAGGUGGGUGAAUCACGAGGUCAGGAGAUCGAGACCAUCCUGGCCAACAUGGUGAAACCCCGUCUCUACUAAAAUACAAAAAAUUAGCCAGGCACUGUGGCACGCACCUGUAGUCCCAGCUGCUGCUACUCCAGAGCCUGAGGCAGGGGAAUCGCUUGAACCUGGGAGGCAGAGGUUGCAGUGAGCCAAGAUCACACCACUAUACUCCAGCCUGGCGACAGAGUAGGAUUCCACCUAAAAAAAAAAAAGAAGAAGAAGAAGAAGAAAGCAAAGACAUUAAUUGUUAGGCAAUGAAGGCUGAGAUAACAAAGGCAAUUUUUUUUUGAGAACCUACACAUUUGGAAAAACAGACAUUUCAGAUUCCCAGCCUAGUAUAUGUCUGGCAAAUAUGCCCUCCUGGGUAGUGAAGACCAGAAAAUAAAUUUGGGGAUUACAAAGCCAAGUUUCUCAAGACACAAAAACAAGAUGAAAGGAGAAGCUUAUUAUGGUUUUUCUCCUUAUACCAAACCACACAAAGGACAGAGACAAGAAAAACAAGGACCAUUUUUGGAUGUUUAAAGAUUAAUUAUCAAUAGUUAGAAAGAAGGAAACACGAAAAUGGAGUUUCACCACUCACCUGACUAGUCCUAAGGCAGAAACCCAAGGAGGAUUACUGAUAAGGAAAAACAUUUAUUGUGAUGAAGAGAAUCAUAAGAACACAUACAUAUGGGACACGCGAACAUCUAUCUACUAAGGCAGCUAAAAUGAAAGAGGAAGAUGGAGAGAAUGAAUUAGCCAAAAACCACUUUGAGUUUGACACAAUGAGUUUCUUCUUCAAUUACAGUAGAAUAAGUACAGUUUUGUGUUUAACAAUGGAAUACAUUCUGAGAACUGCAUCAUUAGACGAUUUUGUCAUUCUGCAAACAUCACGGAGUGUACUUACACCAAUUCAAUGGUAUAGCCUACUACACACCUAGGCUAUGUGCUACAUCCUAUUGAUCCAAGCCAGAAACAUGCACAGCAUACUACUGUACUAAAUACUGUGGACAAUUGUAACACAAUGUUGAACAGCCACCAGCACAGCCACCAGCUGACCAGCAGUGACCUCUGGACUGAAGUUGUUUUGAAGAUAACAAUGGAAUAUGAAUUGCAAGAGAGAAACUCCAUUGUAACCUUUUCUAAAGACAACUCCGUUUUCAAUUUGGUCUCAACAUGAUGCUACAAGAGUGGUCAUGUUGGGAAAAAGCCCCGACUAUCUCAGCAACUCAAAUUCCUUGACAUAAACCGUCUGGUGGAAGGACAACCUCCAGUGAUGCUUGGUUUCCAAACAAACUUUCCAUUGUUCUGAAUAAGGAAACUUGAAGCAUCUACUAGCAUUUUCCAUCUAUUAUCUCCUAGAAUCAGUGCCCACAGCUUUCCCUUAGGUAUUCCUAGGACUAGAUUUAGAAACUUCUCCUGGUUUGGCUAUCUCUCCUGUGUACUGUCAGUGCAAUAAUUUUAAUGGGUAUAAACACACCUGGAGGCCAACAGAGCCUCUCCCAAUUCCCUGUUCCUCUUUGGCUGUCUGCCCAAGGAGCUGACAAUGAUGACCUCAAACAUAGUGUGACACUUGACUUCACCUUUUUUUUUCUUUUUAAUUAUCUGAAGAAAUGUCUGUUUAUCUCUAAACACAUUGUGUUUUCAUAGCCUCAUCAUUUGGAACACCUGGUUAACUGUUACAAAAUCCAUAAUGUAAGUUACAAGUGGGUAUUUGGCUAUGAGCUAAGUCUGUUUUCUUUCCUUUCUUUCAUUCUUUUUUUCCUUUCUUUCUCACAUAUUUGUUUAGGACUUAUUGUGUGCUAAGGAUAGCCAUCAGUAUUUGUGACAGAGAAAUGGUUACAUAAGAUCCUGCCUUUGAACUUAUGGUUAAGAAAGAGGAGAAAUGUGAAAAGACAAUAUUGAACAAUAUUAUAUUUGCUGUAACAGCAAUAUCAAUACGGGCUUGUGGGAAGACAAGCUCUCCCUGGUAAAAACCUUCAGAGGGAAGUUUGCAUUUGAGUUGGCCGUGAGCAUGGCCUGGCUUUGACUUGCUUCCCCAGUUGAUUAGCAGAGUUCAGGAGCUGCCCCGAAGGAUCCUCAAACUUAAAGUCCAUCUCCAGGAAACAUAUUACUUUCCUAGAACCUAAUACCAAAGUUUGACAUCUCUUUGUAGAGAAAUUAAUAGUAAUUUUCUUUCCAGCAAUAUGACUUGUCUUUAUGCAAAUGAUCAAAAUCUUGAAGGGAUGCCUUAUCCAAUUUAAAGACAAAAGUCAGUAUGUCUUGAGAGUGUCCUGUAAAUGACAUUUGAAAAAAAGUAAAACCCAUAUUACUAUGUUUCUUAUAUGUCAUGCUAAGCAAUUUGAAAUUUCUGCUUUAAAAAGUAUUUAAGUCCAACAGAAGUUUUUAGUCAGGUUUUCAGUUCUUCCUUUACUAAUGAAUGGCAAAUAUCAAAACUUGUUUUGUCAAGAAUUGGUAAUUUCAGCAGAUGCCUGGCACAAAAUAGGAGCUUAAUAUACAUAUUUUUGAAUUAAUAAGCAAUCACAUAAUAUUUAUGUACCAACUCUGGUUAGCCAGAUAUGUGCUGUGUGUUUCAUCUUUUGUUUCAUAUAAAUUUGAUUUCUGCACUGCCCUAAAUCAAGAUUCCUAAAAUCAUUUUUUUAAUAUCUCACAACACAAGUAAUAUGAAUCUUAUCCUUCAAGCUUAGUAAAUGUUAUUUUAUACUGCUACUACUAAUAAAUAUCUAAAAUAUAUAUUGUGCUUUAUUAUUUUCAAAAUAUUUUAAUCCUCUUUAUCUCAUCUUAUCCCUACAUUGAUUUUAUGGAAUUCCUAUUACUAUUUUACUAGAGAGAACUCUGAGUUAAAAUAUGUGUUAAAGCAAGUCAUACAGCUAGUCAUUGGCUGAGACAGGAC